rnacentral:rRNA from 1 species
UACGGAGGGUGCGAGCGUUGUCCGGAAUCAUUGGGCGUAAAGGGCGCGUAGGUGGCCCGGUCAGUCUUUGGUGAAAGCGCGGGGCUCAACCCUGCGUCGGCCAGGGAUACUGCCGCGGCUCGAGCACUGUAGAGGCAGGCGGAAUUCCGGGUGUAGCGGUGGAAUGCGUAGAGAUCCGGAAGAACACCGGUGGCGAAGGCGGCCUGCUGGGCAGUUUGCUGACACUGAGGCGCGACAGCGUGGGGAGCAAACAGG